rnacentral:rRNA from 1 species
UUUUAUGGAGAGUUUGAUCCUGGCUCAGGAUGAACGCUGGCGGCGUGCCUAAUACAUGCAAGUCGAGCGAACGGACGAGAAGCUUGCUUUUCUGAUGUUAGCGGCGGACGGGUGAGUAACACGUGGAUAACCUACCUAUAAGACUGGGAUAACUUCGGGAAACCGGAGCUAAUACCGGAUAAUAUUUUGAACCGCAUGGUUCAAAAGUGAAAGACGGUCUUGCUGUCACUUAUAGAUGGAUCCGCGCUGCAUUAGCUAGUUGGUAAGGUAACGGCUUACCAAGGCAACGAUGCAUAGCCGACCUGAGAGGGUGAUCGGCCACACUGGAACUGAGACACGGUCCAGACUCCUACGGGAGGCAGCAGUAGGGAAUCUUCCGCAAUGGGCGAAAGCCUGACGGAGCAACGCCGCGUGAGUGAUGAAGGUCUUCGGAUCGUAAAACUCUGUUAUUAGGGAAGAACAUAUGUGUAAGUAACUGUGCACAUCUUGACGGUACCUAAUCAGAAAGCCACGGCUAACUACGUGCCAGCAGCCGCGGUAAUACGUAGGUGGCAAGCGUUAUCCGGAAUUAUUGGGCGUAAAGCGCGCGUAGGCGGUUUUUUAAGUCUGAUGUGAAAGCCCACGGCUCAACCGUGGAGGGUCAUUGGAAACUGGAAAACUUGAGUGCAGAAGAGGAAAGUGGAAUUCCAUGUGUAGCGGUGAAAUGCGCAGAGAUAUGGAGGAACACCAGUGGCGAAGGCGACUUUCUGGUCUGUAACUGACGCUGAUGUGCGAAAGCGUGGGGAUCAAACAGGAUUAGAUACCCUGGUAGUCCACGCCGUAAACGAUGAGUGCUAAGUGUUAGGGGGUUUCCGCCCCUUAGUGCUGCAGCUAACGCAUUAAGCACUCCGCCUGGGGAGUACGACCGCAAGGUUGAAACUCAAAGGAAUUGACGGGGACCCGCACAAGCGGUGGAGCAUGUGGUUUAAUUCGAAGCAACGCGAAGAACCUUACCAAAUCUUGACAUCCUUUGACAACUCUAGAGAUAGAGCCUUCCCCUUCGGGGGACAAAGUGACAGGUGGUGCAUGGUUGUCGUCAGCUCGUGUCGUGAGAUGUUGGGUUAAGUCCCGCAACGAGCGCAACCCUUAAGCUUAGUUGCCAUCAUUAAGUUGGGCACUCUAAGUUGACUGCCGGUGACAAACCGGAGGAAGGUGGGGAUGACGUCAAAUCAUCAUGCCCCUUAUGAUUUGGGCUACACACGUGCUACAAUGGACAAUACAAAGGGCAGCGAAACCGCGAGGUCAAGCAAAUCCCAUAAAGUUGUUCUCAGUUCGGAUUGUAGUCUGCAACUCGACUACAUGAAGCUGGAAUCGCUAGUAAUCGUAGAUCAGCAUGCUACGGUGAAUACGUUCCCGGGUCUUGUACACACCGCCCGUCACACCACGAGAGUUUGUAACACCCGAAGCCGGUGGAGUAACCUUUUAGGAGCUAGCCGUCGAAGGUGGGACAAAUGAUUGGGGUGAAGUCGUAACAAGGUAGCCGUAUCGGAAGGGGCGGCUGGAUCACCUCCUUUCU